GGACUCUGAAAAUCUAACCCUAGAUAUUAUAUAUAAAUAGGAGCAGCAGAAAGCAGAAGGGGGGAGCCGAACAAUAGCACCUUCACUAUUUUCAUACAGCCGUCUAAAAGAAUAGUGCAUCAACAUCAAAGAAGAACUCUCAGCUGAAGCUCCACAAGAUCAAAGCUGCAAAAUCUCUUCGGUUCUUUCAUUUCAUCUCCCCAGACAGAUUUUUAUUGUUUUAUUU
rnacentral:misc_RNA from 1 species